CGCGUACGCGUCCGUUCGUAUGUGUGUAUAUGUGUUUGUGUGACUGUAAAAACGCGUAUUAUAGCCGUAUAUCCAGAUUUUGUGCUUUGUGGAGGGUGAAAAAGUUUGGGCUGAAAAAUGCAUAUAUAGUUCAUAUAUAAAAAACCAGGAGAUGGCGCUUUCGGUAAUUUCUAAAAUGGCGUGUAUUUUGUGAUAUUUGAGUGACGAUACAAGCAUUGUUUCUACCAAAUUCUAGCUGUAUGAUACUCGGUAUGAAAAGUGGAGAGACUUUAAACAUUCCAUAGUUACGAGGCUGCGCCAUGUACAAACGAUCUCACAUGUGAAGGGUGCUACUAUAAGGAAAACAACUGGAGAGACAUCUUGGUAGACAUCUUGCAGCGAUGGGCACACAUAUUGGGGUGUGCUGGGACUUGUUCGCUGCAGUCGGAGCUAAGAUGAUAUUUUUGUUCAAGUAAUUCAACACCUAAUUACACAUAAUAAAUACAACACUGGUGAGAAGGAGAGCAAGACAUAGUCAAAGAAUUACUGCCAUAUAGAAGAUAAUUCAUAACCAGAAAGCCCAGAACACCAGCAUCUUUCUCCAGUAAAGUAAUGCCAGGUGUCCCAAAAACAAGGAAGCGUGGAAAAGGAACUCUCAGAGAAAAAUCUCUGAUAAUAGUUGCUGUUUAUAUGUCUUCAUAUGUCAGCCAUGGGAAUCUCAAGUUAGCUUGUCUGAAUCUGAUAUCAAAUGAUCAGGUGGAAACUGCUAUAGCGUCCACAUAUCUCAGAAGACGAUGUACGCCAUUGUCCAGCUAAAAUCAUAUGGAGGCAGAUCUAUCUAUCGACUCACUACACGGCUUGAAAUGUCACUAAUCCGGAACAUCGUCUCUCGAGUGGGAACCUCAAUGGGCAGAAUUUCAUCACCAGUCGGGAAGAAUGAAGAGUAUUGCUCAGUUCUAAUACCAGCUAGUUGCAUGCAACAUCAUGCUUAGCCUCCAACCCUAAGCUUCCUCUGCCACCCUUAGCUACAGGGUGUCCUUGGGCAAGGCAUAGCACCUGUUUAGCCUCCCGUGCCAGGGUUACGGUGAAGAUGUCUAAUGUAGUGGAGAUGUGCAAGUGACUGAACACAGCAUUGACCUAAUUGGAGGGAAGAACAAACAUAGCUAAAGGAGUGCUGCUCUGCUAGAUAAUCUGUGCAUCGAAGAAGAUAGAGGGUGGAUAAUUGGUGCCAGUGUGUUGAGUUGUGAGGCUAGGAUUGGAGCAAGUUGUCUUUUCCCCCAUUCACUCCAUGCACGCUUAUCAUUUAGACUAGCAAUACACAAGCAAGGAACCAGGAAGGAACCAGAACAAGGAACCAGGACAAGGAACCAGGACUUCAAACUCACUUCUGUUGAGAAGCUGUGUAACACUGCCACACCCACGGAUCAGCACACGCCCACAACGAGCCACCAAAUCGUGUAAAAGGACAUUUGUGCAGACAUAGACACAUCAAGCUGACGGGAGGCGUGAGUGCAGAAAUCGUUGAAGCCAAGACUGUUAUUGCAACGACGCACUACGUUAAUGUGAAGCUGCCUUGUAAUGUAUCCGUGUGUUGUUAAUUGAAUCCAGAGUAGUUUUUCAUAGAGUUCGUUUUUAGACGUCAGCAGUUCAAUGUUUGAAGUAUUUGACUGGCAUAUUUAAUGACAAAGAUGCCAGGGGGGUGAGACAACACCUUGGCUGGUCAGAGCAUGGGAAAUCACACCUCCCCCCUCCCAAGAG
rnacentral:lncRNA from 1 species